AUCAACUUUCUGAGAUCUUUCACAUCCGGCACACAUAUACGACCCUUGUACCACAAGGUACCCUAGUCAUCCUCUCUGAAAUGAGGUGCUUUGCCAAUCUUGAGCAACUCACGAAUUUCCUACAGCUUCUUAUCAUCUUUCUGAUGCUGCCUGAUCUCUGCCUCUAGAGUAGGUUCUGCCUCGAAUGAUGUACCCGAGGUGCGAUGCAAGAAACCCAGACUCAACUGCUCAAACUCCUCACAUAACUCCUGAGGCAUCUGAAAAGCCAUGGCCAUGUUAACAUAGCUCUUCCUGCUCAGAGCAUCUGCUACAACAUUAGCCUUGCCCGGAUGAUAGUGAAUCUCCAGGUCGUAAUCCUUGACCAACUCUAGCCAUCUUCUCUGCCGCAUGUUCAGCUCACUCUGGGUGAAGAUAUACUUGAGGCUCUUGUGAUCGGUGUAAAUAUCACACCUCUGCCCAAACAAGUAAUGCCUCCAUAUCUUCAGAGCAUGCACAACUGCGGCCAACUCCAGAUCAUGAGUGGGAUAAUUUAGCUCGUGCCGACGCAACUGCCGCGAGGCAUAAGCUAUCACUCUGCCUUCCUGCAUUAGGACGCAACCAAGACCAUCCCUCGAAGCAUCACAAUACACUGUGAACUUCUUGCUCUGGUCUGGCAGAGUAAGGACUGGCGCCGUAGUCAACCUCAUCUUUAGCUCCUCGAAGGCAUUCUAAAAAACGAGUUGAAGGAGUCGGUUUUAUUAGCGGAGAAGAAGCUGUAAAUUGGGGCUUAUCGGGCCCAAUGUUACGAGCUUCUGGAACACAAUGGGAUCUUCGUAAAAUUGAUCCUUAUGAGUCUUAUAAUCAAUUUGAUUGGAAAGUACAAUGGCAAAAAGAAGGAGAUUCGUUAGCUCGCUAUUUAGUACGAAUCGGUGAAAUGAGGGAAUCCAUAAAAAUUAUUCAACAAGCUGUAGGGAAAAUUCCGGGAGGACCUUAUGAGAAUUUAGAAGCCCGACGCUUUAAGAAAGCAAAGAAUUCCGAAUGGAAUGAUUUUGAAUAUCGAUUUCUUGGUAAAAAGCCUUCGCCCAAUUUUGAAUUAUCAAAGCAAGAGCUUUAUGUAAGAGUAGAAGCUCCAAAAGGUGAGUUAGGAAUUUAUCUGGUAGGAGAUGAUAGUCUUUUCCCCUGGAGAUGGAAAAUUCGUCCACCUGGUUUUAUUAAUUUGCAAAUUCUUCCUCAGCUAGUUAAAAAAAUGAAAUUGGCUGAUAUCAUGACGAUAUUAGGUAGUAUAGAUAUCAUUAUGGGGGAAGUUGAUCGUUGAAAUGAUAAUAGAGGUAGAAACUAUCAAUUCUUUUUCGAAAUCGGAAUUAUUAAAAGAAGUCUACGGACUGAUAUGGAUUCUACCCAUUUUGACCCUCCUACUGGGAAUCACAAUACAAGUACUCGUAAUUGUGUGGUUAGAAAGAGAAAUAUCCGCAUCGAUACAACAACGUAUUGGUCCUGAAUAUGCUGGCCCCCUGGGACUGCUUCAAGCUAUAGCAGAUGGAACUAAGCUACUUUUAAAAGAGGAUAUCCUCCCAUCCUGAGGAGAAAUUCCUUUAUUUAGCAUUGGUCCCUCUAUAGCAGUCAUAUCCAUUUUAUUAAGUUUUUUAGUUAUCCCUUUGGGAUAUCGUUUUGUUUUAGCUGAUCUUAGUAUUGGUGUUUUUUUAUGGAUUGCCAUUUCAAGUAUUGCUCCUAUUGGUCUUCUCAUGGCGGGAUAUAGUUCAAAUAAUAAAUAUUCUUUUUCAGGCGGUCUACGAGCGGCUGCUCAAUCUAUUAGUUAUGAAAUACCAUUAACUUUUUGUGUGCUAGCAAUAUCUCUACGUGUGAUUCGUUAAAAUAGGAUCGUUUUCCUCUAAAAUACAUUGAAUGCUUAUCUUCCUUUGCUUAUUCUGUAUUCGGGUUGGUAAGUUAAACUAGAUAGCUAUAUGAGUGAAACAAAACAGCUUAUUAAUUUGUAGUAAAAAUACAAAAUCUCAUUUCCUACGUACAAGAAAAAAGUUCAAGUAAACAUAAGCAGUGUAAACUCUUUACCCCAAGGUUGAGAUUGUUUGAUUAGUCAUCAUAUCUUGAAGCGGGCAAGAAUAAAGGAUUCGCGAUAUGGAAUUCCAUUACUAGAAUAUUUUGAGUUAUUACUAUAACUUAUAACCAUAAGGCAAUCCCUCAAAAGUUAGUGAGGGGUUAGAAACACUAAAGUACAUACAGGAUUAGUAAUGAGAGAAUCUCAAUUUUGAGAUAUUUUUCCUCAUAAAAGGAAUCGUAAUAAGGACUUGAAAUUGGUGGAAAUGAUCAAGUAGUACUUUCUUCGGAUUCCGGUCUAGAGUAUGUUCCCAUUCACUUGUUAAAGAAAUGGCUAUCGAGAACGAAUUAACCCUUUAUUCUUUUUUCUUUUUAAGCAUACCCUUCCCCGGGAAAGAAGAAUAGGACAAAAGAUAUGGAAUGCAAUACAAAAAAAAAAGGGAUCUUUAUUUAUUCUUUCCUUCCUUUAUCCCUAUUCAUACAGAAUUCCUCAUGAACUAAUACCCAAUUCUUUCCAUUUAUUAAUUGCUAUAACGAGUGUUUUAUUCCAAUAUUAAGUUAUUACCGAACAAAGAAAAAUUAUAUAUAAAGGAUGAGAUCAAUUCAGAAGCACUUUUUUUUUAUUCUAGCAGACGGAAUUGCUUUGGUCUAAUUUGGGGCUUUCCAAUCAAUUUUCUCUUACCUAAUUCUAUCUACGCCCAGGGGAUAAUACCGAAAUGAAACAAUACUUUCCCUUUUUUAUGAUCAUAGAGGAGCCGUAUGAAGCUAAGGUUUCAUGUACGGUUUUGGAAUAGCGGUGGGAACUGUGAUGUUAUCACCGACUAUGAUUAUCUAACAGUUCAAGUACAGUUGAUAUAGUUGAAGCACAGUCCAAAUAUGGUUUUUUUGGAUGGAAUCUUUGGCGUCAGCCUAUAGGUUUUCUAGUUUUUCUAAUUUCUUCUUUGGCAGAAUGUGAAAGAUUACCCUUUGAUUUACCAGAAGCGGAAGAAGAAUUAGUAGCAGGUUAUCAAACCGAAUAUUCUGGUAUUAAAUAUGGUUUAUUUUAUCUUGCUUCUUACCUAAAUUUAUUAGUUUCCUCUUUAUUUGUAACUGUUCUAUACUUAGGCGGGUGGAAUUUAUCUAUUCCCUAUAUAUCCUUUUUUGGAUUUUUCCAAAUGAAUAAAAUGAUUGGAAUUUUGGAAAUGAUAAUAGGUAUCUUUAUUACAUUAACUAAAGCUUAUUUAUUUCUCUUUAUUUCUAUCACAAUAAGAUGGACUUUACCCAGGAUGAGAAUGGAUCAGUUAUUAAAUCUUGGAUGGAAAUUUCUUUUACCUAUUUCUCUGGGCAAUCUCUUAUUAACAACUUCUUCCCAACUAGUUUCACUAUAAAUAAGACAAUAGAAUAAGAGUAAGAAUAUUUUCAACACAAAAGUUCUCUCAAACAAGAGAAAGAAACAUACCUUUUUCAUAUAUAUUUAGAAUAUGUUCCCUAUGCUAACUGGGUUCAUUAGUUAUGGUCAACAAACAAUACGCGCCGCAAGAUACAUUGGUCAAGGUUUCAUAAUUACCUUAUCCCACACAAAUCGUUUACCUAUAACGAUUCACUACCCUUAUGAAAAAUCAAUUACAUCGGAGCGUUUCCGGGGGCGAAUACACUUUGAAUUUGAUAAAUGCAUUGCUUGUGAAGUAUGUGUUCGCGUAUGCCCGAUAGAUCUACCUCUUGUGGAUUGGAGAUUUGAAAAGGAUAUUAAAAGGAAACAAUUGCUUAAUUAUAGUAUUGAUUUCGGAGUUUGUAUAUUUUGUGGUAACUGUGUUGAAUACUGUCCGACAAAUUGUUUAUCGAUGACUGAAGAAUAUGAACUUUCUACUUAUGAUCGUCAUGAAUUGAAUUACAAUCAAAUUGCUUUGAGUCGGUUACCAAUCUCGAUAAUGGGAGAUUACACAAUUCAAACAAUUAGGAAUUCGCCUCAAAGUAAAAUAGACGAAGAAAAAUCUUGGAAUUCAAGAACGAUUACUGAUUACUAGGUAUUAGGAUUUUUUUUGUCAGAAAAAUCCAUUUUUACUAACUAUAACGAAAAAAGAAUAAUUACUGUUUAACAACUUAUAUACAUAUACAAAAAAAUAUCCUAAUAUCUUUUUC
rnacentral:lncRNA from 1 species